AUUGAACGCUGGCGGCAGGCCUAACACAUGCAAGUCGAACGAGUGGCGGACGGGUGAGUAAUGUCUGGGAAACUGCCAGAUGGAGGGGGAUAACUACUGGAAACGGUAGCUAAUACCGCAUACCAUCGGAUGUGCCCAGAUGGGAUUAGCUAGUAGGUGUGGUAACGGCUUACCUAGGCGACGAUCCCUAGCUGGUCUGAAAGGCUGACCAGCCACACUGGCACUGAGACACGGUCACGACUCCUACGUGAGGCAGCAGUGGGGAAUAUUGCACAAUGGGCGCAAGCCUGAUGCAGCCAUGCCGCGUGUAUGAAGAAGGCCUUCGGGUUGUAAAGUACUUUCAGCGAGGAGGCGUUACUCGCAGAAGAAGCACCGGCUAACUCCGUGCCAGCAGCCGCGGUAAUAC
rnacentral:rRNA from 1 species